rnacentral:misc_RNA from 1 species
AAUCCUAACUAUCUUUUCUUUGUUCCUACCAAAAUCAACCCUAUUUUAGCUCUAAUUGUUGAGAUCUAAUUGUCAUAGACUCUUCCACUACCACAAUGCAAUACACACCAUCCCUUAUCAUAUCUAAUACAUUGGAGAAACAAAUCAUUGAUAAAAAUAACCUCACUUCAGGCACUUAAAACAGGAAUUCAAGAUGCAGGAAAAUAUUUAUAAUUUUUUAUAAACCAUUUUACUACUGUCAUUGUUCUAAUACAAGUUCUUUUGAAUGCUCAAUCUCAUAAAAAUCAAUAGAGUAGAAAGAGUCGACAAUUGUUACCAAUAUCAAGGCAUAGACUUCC